rnacentral:rRNA from 1 species
UACGGGGGGGGCAAGCGUUGUUCGGAAUUACUGGGCGUAAAGCGCGCGCAGGCGGCCUUUUAAGUCUCGUGGUGAAAUGCCGGGGCUCAACCCCGUGCCCGCCGGAGAUACUGGGAGGCUGGAGACGAGUAGAGGCAAGCGGAAUUCCGGGUGUAGCGGUGGAAUGCGUAGAGAUCCGGAAGAACACCGGAGGCGAAGGCGGCUUGCUGGGCUCUGUCUGACGCUGAGGCGCGAAAGCGUGGGGAGCGAACAGG